UUUUUUUUUUCUUUUUGGGAUGCACCUGCAGCAUAUGGAAGGUCAAGGGCCAGAGCCACGUCUGUGUUCUAGCCACAGCUUCGGCAAUGCUGGAUCCCUGACUCACUGCACUGGCCCUAGGAGCAAACCAGCAAUGCCCACUGAAAAGCUGGAUCACUAACCCACUGUGCCACAGCAGGAACUCAUGUUUCUGAACUUUUUUUUUUUUUUUUGAAGGGCUGUACCCUCGUCAUAUGGAGGUUCCCAGGCUAGGGGUCGAUUGGAGCUGUAGCCACUGGCCCACACCACAGCUCACGGCAACACCGGACCUAUAACCCACUGAGCGAGGCCAGGGAUCGAACCUGUGUCCUCGUGGAUACUAGUCAGAUUCGUUUCCGCUGAGCCUUUCUGGGAACUCCUCUGAACUUUUUUAGCUUACGUGAGCAACAUUCCCUAGAGUAGCAGGUAACGUUUUUUGUAACCAUGUCAAAUAGAAGCUUUAUGUGUCUCCAUGGCACUAGUAAUUCUGGCACACAAUAGCUCCUCAGUGGAGUUUGCACAAAUGAGAAUCUCCCUGGUCCUCUGGGUUUUCUCUUCUUUCUAUGUCUGAGUCUCACUCAGCUUUCUUGUUAUUUCAAGGUCGUAUAAGAUGGCCCCUUCCUUGGCUGAUCUCCUUUAAGGGGAGGAGAGGUCCUGAGAUCCUGGAAGAAGGUAGAUCUGUGUUCAAAUUGAGCUCGGCCACCCACCAGCUUUGUAACCUUGGUCUCUCUUAGUUUCCUCAUCUGUAAAAUGAAGGUUUGGAUUAGUGGAUCUCUGAGGCCCCUUCCAGUUCUCAUGGAGUUGAGAUUUAUAAUUUUGUGUGCCAAUUAUUCUGAAAUAUAUCCUGUAGCCUACACUCACAUAACAAACACAUCUAGUUAGAAGCUUCUGAGCUAUUUUGAAGUCUUUGGGUCCUAUUGCUCCUAGAACAUUACAGAAUGUUACAGAAUUUCAAAAUAAGAUUCUCAAUACUGGUCUCACAUGCACAGAAAAGAAUCACAGGAUUUUUUCGAGAAAUGGAUUUCAGUCUUUAAAAACAUAAAUCAGGAGUUCCCGUCGUGGCGCAGUGGUUAACGAAUCCGACUAGGAACCAUGAGGUUGUGGGUUUGGUCCCUGCCCUUGCUCAGUGGGUUAACGAUCCGGCAUUGCCGUGAGCUGUGGUGUAGGUUGCAGACACGGCUCGGAUCCCAAGUUGCUGUGGCUCUGGUGUAGGCUGGUGGCUACAGCUCUGAUUCGACCCCUAGCCUGGGAACCUCCAUAUGCCGAGGGAGUGGCCCAAGAAAUGGCAAAAAGCCCAAAAAAAUAAAAAAUAAAAAAAUAAAAACAUAAAUUGGAUCAGCUCAUUCCUGUGAGUAAAAUCCUUCUGGAUUUCCUGGUGGACUUUGAACAGAGUGCAGUUUAAAGUCUCCAAGCCCUUGACUCACCUGGCCUCUGCUUUCCUCUCCAGCCUCCUCUGGAGCCACACUGCCUUUGCUCCACCUCUCUGCAGCCACCCUGCCCUCCUUUCACUGCCUCUAACACACACAUUCUAAUCCUCUGCCUGAUCUUAAUCUACUGCUCCCAAAUCCUCAUGCCUGCUUCUCUCUGGCUGUGUCCUUCUUAUCCCUUUUCAUCUCUGCCUAACUGCCACCUUCUCAGAGAGGCCUUCUUUGACCUUUAAGUAACUGCCCAGAUCGUCCCUCAAUCCAGUUAUUGUCUGUGAUUUUUACCUCAUUAAUUUCCAUCAUGAGAGCUCUCAAAAUUUCCCAUUAUCCUUUUAUUUCUUACCUGAAUGCUGGCUCACUUGCUGUAUUGCCAGCCCCGCCACCACAGGUGCAGCACACCAGACCAGGAACCAUGCCUGUUUCAUUCAGCAGUGCAUCUGCCAGGACCAACAUGGCACCCUGCUCACAGCAAAUGGAUCACAGACACAGCUGACGGGAUGAACAUCUAAUCCAAUCCCGGACUCAAUCAGAAGACUCAAAUCCUGGUCCUAUCUUUGGGAACCAAGUGACCCUCAAUUAUUAUUAUUAUUACUAUUAUUGUAUUUUCUAGGGCCACACCCAUGGCAUAUGGAGGUUCCCAGGAUAGGGGUCUAAUUGGAGCUGUAGCUGUGGGCCUAGGCCACAGCCACUGCAACACAUGAUCAGAGCCACGUCUGUGACCUACACCACAGCUCAUGGCAAUGCCGGAUCCUUAACCCAUUGAGCAAGGCCAGGGAUCGAACCCACAACCUCAUGGUUCCUAGUCAGAUUUGUUAACCACUGAGCCACAAUGGGAACUCCGAAUUAUUUACUUACUGUGAAAUUAGGGGAAUAUAUUAGUUAGAACAUUUUUUAUUUUUAUUUUUUUUGCUUUUUGGCACCGCACCUACAACAUAUGGAAGUUCCUAGGCCAGGGGUUGAAUUGGAGCUACAGCUGCUGGCCCAAACGACAUGCACAGGAACUUGGGAUUUGAACCCCAUCUGUGAACUACACCACAGCCCAUGGCAGUGCUGGAUCCUUAACCCAUCAAGUGAGGCCAGGGAUUGAACCUGCAACCUCAUGGAUCCUAGUUGGGUUCGUUAACCGCUGAGCUACGAAGGAAACUCCUAGUUAGAUCAUCUUGAUGAAACUCUUCAGCUUUGGAAGUCAGUUUUAUGAUUAUUAUUGGUAGAUUUUGAAAUGUUAUUUUAGUAGACUCUAGGGGAGAAGGAAAAUUAAAUGAGUUACAAAUAAAAUAAUAGGAUAUCUAUUUCUGGAUUUUAAAAAGUGAACUUUUGAUUUUAAAAAAUGAACUCUGAUCUUUUUCUUUCUUUUUUUUGGUCUUUUUAGGGCUGAACAUGAGGCAUGUGGAGGUUCCCAGGCUAGGGGUCCAAUCGGUGCUAUAGCUGCUGGCCUACGCCAGAGCCACAGCAGGACAGCAUUCAAGCCUUGCUGCAACCUAUACCACAGCUCAAGGCAACGCCAGAUCCUUAACCGCUGAGCAAAACUAGGGAUCGAACCCGCGUCCUCAUGGGUACUGGUUGGAUUUGUUAACUGCUGAGCCACGACGGGAACUCCCUGAACUCUGUCAGAGAUCAAAAGUUUUUUCAGAUUGUAAUCAGAAGACCAAAAUAAUACUUAAAUGCUUAGUCAUGGAACAUGAUCUCUGCUUUAUAUUUACGAGAAGUUUGACGCUCUGUUGAUAAUUUUUAAGUCAGAAGGUUUUUCUGUAACACAGGAAAAGUGGGGACAACAUAUUUCAAAAGCUGGAAGUUAAUUCCACCAAUGCCAAGGAAAAAAGCCAGCUGGGUGCACUCUUCAGUUGAAUGUAAAGAUAUAUAUAUGAUCUGAUAAAAAAACAACAUUAAAUAAGGCGACUGACCCUGGCUAAGCUUGAGGCCAAGGGCACUGUAACAAUGGUAUUACUCAAUUGAUAGGCAUCUAGGUAUGUCAGCAUUACUCUAAGGAAUGUAAAGAAGUUUGAGGGGAGCGUUCCUGUCGUGGCUCAGCGGAAACAAAACUGAAUAGCAUCCAUGAAGAUGCAGGUUCGAUCCCUCGCCUUGCUCAGUGGGUUAAAGAUCUAGCGUUGCCAGGAGUUGUGGUAUAGGUCGCAGGCGUGGCUCCGAUCCUCCGUGGCUAUGGCUGUGGUGUAGGCCAGCAACUACAGCUCUAAUCUGACUCCUAGCCUGGGAAACUCCAUAUGCCAAGGGUGUGGCCAAAAAGAAAAAAAAAAAAAAAAGAAUUUUGAGGGAGUUCUUGUUGUGGCUCAGCAAUAACGAACCCGACUGGUAUCCAUGAGGUUGCAGGUUUGAUCCCUGACCCUGCUCAGCUGGGUAAGGAUCCAGUGUUGCUGUGAGCUGUCAUGUAGGUCUCAGACUCAGCUCAGAUCCUGAGUUGCUGUGGCUCUGGUGUAGGAAAAGAAUAUAGUUCCCACUUCCAUAUGCCAAAGAUGCGGCUCUAAAAAGCAGAAAGAAAAAAAGAGUUUUGAAACUUGGGCUCAUGGAGUGAGUGGUAUUAUAUGCCUGGAGGCAUUUACCUUCUGCCCCACUUUCAAAAUAUUUCAAACACAAAUAUGUAUUUUAGCUUUUCCUACACAUUUCCUAGCUUAAGAAAUGUACCUUGUUAGAUUUACUUAGAAUUGGUAAUAAUAGAAAGGUUUGUCUAGCUAAGGAUAUCAGCCUGCCUGGUUCUUACAGAGACCCAUUUUGCAACCAAUGUUUCUGUUUUUUUAUACCUAUACUCCCCCAGCUGAGAAGAUGUGUUCAAGCCUUACUUUCCAUAGUCUGUAGUUCAAAAACAAUCGUUUUGGAAGUUCCCUUGUGGCGCAGCAGGUUGAGUUAAGGAUCCAGUGUCGCUGCAUUUCCCUUAAAAUGUGAAAUUAUAUUAUUGACUAUGUUCUUUUCCACCUACCCUUUGAUUCCUUUGGUGCUUCUCCCUGCCAUCAGCGGUUUACACAAUUGUUCCAGUUUUGCAAUAGCCUAAGUGCAACAUAAAAUCCGUUGUUCCACAAAUACUCCAAGUUCUCUGGAAAUACAAGCGAUCAGUGUGUUCAUUUUACCUUUACCUUCAGUAACCUGAGAAAUGAACACAGUUCUGGGAGAGGGGGUAUUGUGGGGUAGGAGAUGGAGUGUGUUUCCUGUUUGAUUGUUUCAGCAGACACCAGGACCAGUGCUGCAGGAAAAAACAAGCUGUUCCUCACAUGACUAGAUCCCCAGAGGGCUAUCCUCUCCUGAAAGUAAUUACAAGUGUAUGAAAGGACAUUAGAAACUCACAGGACGGGGGAAAGGAGCGUCUUGCCUGCUUUCUCGGCACAGUAUUGCUGAACAGAAUGAUUAAGUCUGCAGCACUAACACAGACUGGAUAUCUCACGGAUGACAAACUGAGGCAGGCCAGAAACACUUCUUUUUUCUUUUCUUUUUUUGUCUUUUUGCCUUUUCUAGGGCCGCACCUGAGGCAUAUGGAGGUUCCCAGGCUAGGGGUCCAAUCGGAGCUAUAGCUGCUGGCCUACACCAGAGCCACAGCAACGCCGGAUCUGAGCGGCGUCUGCAACCUACCCCACAGCUCACGGCAACGCUGGAUCCUUAACCCACUGAGCAAGGCCAGGGAUCGAACCCGCAACCUCAUGGUUCGUUAACCAGUGAGCUGCGAAGGGAACGCCUAGGAACAUUUCUUGGUUGAAUACACUUAUAUAUCUUCCUUAGUGCGGUGUGGUUUUCCUAUGUAUUAACACAGACAUUGUGUGAGAUUGUUACUCAUAUCUCUAUGUUAUGGGAGAAGGAAACAGACUCAUCAGGAGGGGAGAAGAGGAGGCGUGUUCAGAAGGUGCAUUUGAUGGGUUGGGAGUGCACUUUCCUGGAGACUAGCCUUUGGGACUCUAGGUUAGAAUUGCCGAUGAAGGCUUGCCCUGCCUCCAGCCUGGGAAACGGAUGUGGGGUUUUAGAGAUUGCUUUUAGGAGGUAAUGUUUAAACGUAGAAAGGCGCAGUGAUUCGGGGGUGAAUUUGAAAUCCACUUAUCAGCAGCCCCCUUCGAGUGGAGGCAUCUAGGAGUGUAACUAGAGCCAUGCUCUGCGGAGUCUGCUGCACCGUCCCUCAGGGAUAGAGUAGAGUUCUUGAGCCGGUGGUGACUGAGGGCGGCCUGGAAUUGUCAGCUGUGUGCGGGAAACCAGCGCUUUGUCUUCUCUCCCACAGCUGGAGAACGCGAGGCAGCGCUGAACCUUCCCCGCCUGGUCAAAUACUGCCAAGGAC
rnacentral:lncRNA from 1 species